rnacentral:misc_RNA from 1 species
CGUUGGAAGUUAAUAUUUAUCUAUGAACAAACGCUACACGUGUUGUUGUUGAUUUUUCUUAUUUGUUAAUAACUUUCUACAUACAACAACAUGGCAUCUGAAGAUCCACGUGUACAACAGAUAGAACAACUGGCGGAAAAGCAAAUGAAGAGCGUUUUACACGCACGUUUUUUGGAAAACUGCAGGGCGGAGAGUGUCAUACCUAAAGGUCUACGCCUGAAGCUGAAAGUGAAUGUGGGAAACGAUAGAUAUAGUGCCGAGCUUCAAGAAACAAUUAACAGCCUCUUGGUGAAGGUAAGCGGAGAAAUUUGUGACAGGGUACGUGACUGUCAACAGCAGCGAGCUCAGGAGAUUGGCAGGCAGAUGGAAACUCUGAGAAGUGAGUUAAAAAAUAAGAUGAGCGAUGAUAAACUUUUUAACGUUGAUAAAAAAAUCCACCACCAGAUAGAACAGAAAAAAGACGUUAUCGUCAGUCAACAUGAAAAGAAGCUGUCUCAUUUGAUUGACAAUAGAAACAAAAAUCGCACGUCUAAUAACGAUAAAGAUGAGGUUCGUGUUGAACUACAAUCUAAUAGCACAUCAAAACGGAGACGCAAUGGAAAGAAGACCGAAACAAAAUCAACCAAAACCAACAAAAAUACUUUCGGAAGAAGAACUAGCAACCAGAUUUCGAAAGCUAACGAUGAAUCUACUCUUCAAAUGUCAAAAAACAUGAAAACCCCGGGCCCACAGAAAACCUACGCAGAGGCCGUGAAAACCGGGGCAACACUGCAGGAGGACGUGAAGACCGGGACAACACUGCAGGAGACAGUGCAGAACCUAGUGAAGGCAGUUACGAGUGUGGCAGCACUGCUGGAGGGAAGGGCCGACACGGCAGAAAACGACAAAGGCGAUUCAUCCGGGCCCCGGACAAAAAAUCCUGGAGAAAAACGAAACGGCGGUUACAGAAAAUACGGAAAGGAAAGGAGACAGUAUUAAACUUAUCGAGUAAAAAUCUUACAGACGAUGACUACAUACUUCUAGAAGUUACACUGAUGCUGGAUAUCUGCAAGACACAGCAGGCAAACAAGGUAUGUCUAAACAACAACGUACUUACAGUUCACUGAGUAUCUACCUUGCAGGUAUGUCUAAACAACAAUUUACUUACAGUUCACUGAGUAUCUACCUUGCAGGUAUGUCUAAACAACAACGUACUUACAGUUUACUUAGUAUCUACCUUGCAGGUAUGUCUGAACAACAAUUUACUUACAGUUCACUGAGUAUCUACCUUGCAGGUAUGUCUAAACAACAACGUACUUACAGUUCACUGAGUAUCUACCUUGCAGGUAUGUCUAAACAACAAUUUACUUACAGUUCACUGAGUAUCUACCUUGCAGGUAUGUCUGAACAACAAUGUGCUUACAGUUUAUGUCUAAACAACAAUGUACUUACAGUUUACUUAGUAUCUGCCUUGCAGGUAUGUCUGAACAAGAACAUACUUACAGUUCACCGAGUAUCUACCUUGCAGGUAUGUCUGAACAACGACGUACUUACAGUUCACUGAGUACUUUGCACGUAUGUCUAAACAACAACGUACUUUAAUAUACGCUCUAACUUCAGAUUUUUGUUCGAUUUUCAUAGCUACAUGUAUUUUGCCCAGUGUCUAUGACUACACCGGAUACAAGAAACAGUACGGUAGUUUUCAAUAAAACUUUGCAGGAUAUAGAAAUCCUUCAUAUGUCAUCUAUGUAAAGCACGAUUAUCAAACUUCUAUGGGAGCGCGCGACAGUCAUCUAGCAACAACAUCUACUGUAACCAUGUGACAGAUUUUUACUAUAAGUUUACCACGCUGUUUUGUUACUUAUGUUGUUUUGUUGUUGUUGUUUUAUUUGCAUUGUUUUGUUUUGUUUUGUUUGGUUGUGUUUCUUUCUUGCGUUCUAGGACGUGUAUAAGACAAACGGUACAUGUUUUAAAUUUUCAUGAGAGUUGGUCGAGGAAUGAAAUUGUAUUUGUCCUACGUUCUUGCUCUCAAAUUACUGGCAACAAUAUGUCAUUGGCGUAAUUCAGUUCUAUAUGAAUAAGUGUCUGAUAUUUGAUCUUAUUUGUUCAUCUGCAUGUUGUCGAAUUGCUUUCGUGUUUUAAUCGGUUUUAUCUCCCUCUGUCCUAAAUUAUUUAUGUCUCUGACAGCAUGUGUCUGUGCAAUGUAUGAAAAUAAGUCUGAAAUGGUGUUGAUACACACGAGGGACAUAUUUGUUAUUUUGAUUAUUUUGCAAGACAAUGAACUUCAUGAUCUACAAUGAAUCUUCAAUGAACUACAGCUGCAAUAUUUGGAAAAAUAUUUAUGCAUAUUAUACUUAAUAAGAUGUUGACAUUUUUUUUUAUUUCUUGAUGUUGCAGUUUAAUGUCCAUAAAUUAUGUAUUUCUGCUUUCGCUUUCGCAUGGAUAAAUAAGAUAUGACAAAUCCGAGAAAUUCGCAAAAUUAAAUAUUUAACAGUACAUGUAUAAUUCUACGAUUUAGCUUUUUCUGCUUUUUUUCCCAGUCAUUCAUUUCAUUUGCAGCAUGAAUUCGACGGAUAUAGCCUAGAUUGGAAUUAAAGAAAUUAGCUAUGAAUGCUUAGCACUCAAACCAGAGCAUGUGGUUGCUGCCAUAGUAGCCGACAAGAGAUAUAUACUGGGAACUGCGGCUAAUGGUGUAACAUAUUUACAAGAGAUAUAUACUGGAACUGCGGCUAAAGGUGUAACAUAUUUACAAGAGAUAUAUACUGGAACUGCGGCUAAAGGUGUAACAUAUUUACAAGAGAUAUAUACUGGAACUGCGGCUAAAGGUGUAACAUAUUUACAAGAGAUAUAUACUGGAACUGCGACUAAAGGUGUAACAUAUUUACAAGAGAUAUAUACUGGAACUGCGGCUAAAGGUGUAACAUAUUUACAAGAGAUAUAUACUGGAACUGCGGCUAAUGGUGUAACAUAUUUACAAGAGAUAUAUACUGGAACGAACUGCGGCUAAAGGUGUAACAUAUUUACAAAAGAUAUAUACUGGAACUGCGGCUAAAGGUGUAACAUAUUUACAAGAGAUAUAUACUGGAACUGCGGAUAAGGGUGUAACAUAUUUACAAGAGAUAUAUACUGGAACUGCGGCUAAUGGCAUUCUGCAGUAUUAUGCUGUAUAUUUCCAAUCACUACUGAAGACAUGUCUAAAAAUAUCAACCGCUUUACAUAUUUAUAGGUUGUUUCUAAAGUCGACAUAUUUAUUUCGUCAUUUGGAAAAAAACUCAUCUGUUUUAAGGAUUAAGUUCAAAAUUGUGAGUUUUUACACUUCCAAACCUUAUCCAUAAAAUUCAUCGGACAUGACAAAGCGCAGUAUACAUAAAGUUUCAUGAAGAUUUACUUUUUCAUAUGAAAAAUAAUAUUUGUGUUAAACCAUAUUCCAGUCAAAGAUUACCUAGAAUAUUUAUAAUCACGCUUCAAAAGUGGAAUGUAUCUAAUUAAAACAGAAUUUUAUACGUCAUUAAAGAGUAUGAAAAGUCAGCAAACCUUACUUACUGCAGAUGGACAAGACAAAACACAUUCAUGAUGGUCUGUGAAUGUUCGUUUCUGGUGAAAUUCUUAUAUCACAGGCAUUUGUUUUGAAACCUUUGAAAUAAAAAUCAAUUAGUAAAUUCUAAUAACAUUGAUAGAGUUAAAACGUAUAUUAUAAUAGCAGAACUGUCACCGCAAGGGCUUCAUUUCUAUUAUUGGCAGACUAUUACACUGGAAGCCUUUAAAAUGUUGAAAGUUUUUUGUCUGAAAGUACACAUCUCCGGAAAAUAAAAGCCCAUCACUCUAAAUAUUUCAAUAUAAUUUAAAGUUAUUCAUUUGACUUUCUUUGUCAGGGUCAAAGAGGCCAGACAACAGCAUGGAUACAAAAAAAAACAAUAUUUACGAUACCUGAGAGAUAUAUAUUAAAUGGAAGUUUCCAAAAUGAGAUAUCAAGGUAAGGUAUGGAAUUGGGAAUCAGCAACAGUACAAAAAUGCCUGGUCUUUUAUAGAUCAAAAAAUGAAAAUCAGACGUAUAAAUUCUGGUCAAGAUAAGAUAAAAAACAAAGUUUACUGGUUUUAAACAAUAUCUUAAUUCCAGUAAUAUUGGAAAAUUUGAAUUCGUCAAGUGUUAAAAUUGCGUGUAAUUAUAAACACACUGAUAGUUUUACAAGCUUUCCUUGUUGGCAUUUUAACGAUGUCCAAGUUCGUCAACGCUUAAAAAUAUCGUCGUGGUUCCAACAAUUGCACAAAAGAAAAAAAGGAAAGAAAACAAACAAGGACUAACAUAACAAAACUUGCCGGUUUGUUUUACUCGCUCUAAACCUGUAGCCUUGUAAUAUACAUUUGAUAUCUCUCUUGGGAAACCCACUAGGAAUUUGAAUGAUAUAUGUAAAAACAAUAUUCUUUUACCAGUAAAUUAGAUUCUAUAAAGAAAACGUGUAUCAGACAUUUCUUUAGAUAUUUUAGUCACCUUACCUUAAAUCUUGCUGUAAUAUUUAUACUUACCAUUACUAAUCUCGCGUCAUCACUAAUUUCGCGGUAUUUGAGUUGCGCCACCUACGCCGUGUUUACAUGUCAAUGUUCAUGACCUUUUUUACGCCUGGCAGCGAAAAAUGUUCUUGGUAAAAAUUUAUAGCAGAAAAAAAUUAUCAAUUAAUGAAGCAAAUAUUUGCAAUGUUUAAAAGUUCGUCUACCAGCUUCUCUGCAUUUGUCCUCUUUAAUUAUGCAAAUUAAGUCCCGCCCAUAGGUUAGAGAACACCAUUUUACGUAACUUCCCCUUGACAAACAUGACUGACAUAUUAAUAUGAGGCUAUCAAAACGUCUAAGCUCGACGGACUUUAAGGGGCAGGAGGGGAUGGGAGCCCCGGGACCAUCUCCUCUAAAUACGCCCACGAAACUGAACAAUGAAUCGGAACGUGUUAACUAAGUUUUAGGUAGAAAAUAUUCAGUUAUUGUACAAGAGUUAGGUUCCGAUAAAUUAUAACCACGCCCGCGACCUUGUGGUUUACUUGCUAAACAUAAGGUGUCCACUGCUGAGAGAAGUAUAUUUGUGAUAGUGCCAAUGUUAACAGUUCAUAUAAAACGUUUUAAUUGA